GCUUACGGCCAUACCACGUUGAAAGCACGCCAUCCCGUCCGAUCUGGCAAGUUAAGCAACGUU
rfam:Nippostrongylus brasiliensis genome assembly, scaffold: NBR_contig0003158